GACGAACGCUGGCGGCGUGCCUAAUACAUGCAAGUCGAGCGGACCUUUGGGAGCUUGCUCCCAGAGAUUAGCGGCGGACGGGUGAGUAACACGUGGGCAACCUGCCCUGUAGACUGGGAUAACAUCGAGAAAUCGAUGCUAAUACCGGAUAACACCUUUCUUCUCAUGGAGGAAGGUUAAAAGUUGGGAUUACUAACACUACAGGAUGGGCCCGCGGCGCAUUAGCUAGUUGGUAAGGUAAUGGCUUACCAAGGCGACGAUGCGUAGCCGACCUGGAAGGGUGAUCGGCCAAACUGGGACUGGAAGACGGCCCAGACUCCGACGGGAGGCAGGAGUAGGGAAUCUUCCGCAAUGGACGAAAGUCUGACGGAGCAACGCCGCGUGAGAGAUGAAGGUUUUCGGAUCGUAAAGCUCUGUUGUUAGGGAAGAACAAGUGCCGUGCGAAUAGGUCGGCACCUUGACGGUACCUAACCAGAAAGCCACGGCUAACUACGUGCCAGCAGCCGCAGUAACAC
rnacentral:rRNA from 1 species